rnacentral:rRNA from 1 species
UACAGAGGUGGCAAGCGUUGUUCGGAAUUACUGGGCGUAAAGGGCGCGUAGGCGGUUCGUUAAGUCCUGUGUGAAAUCCCCCGGCUCAACUGGGGAACUGCACAGGAAACUAGCGGGCUUGAGUUCGGGAGAGGUAAGUGGAACUGCGAGUGUAGAGGUGAAAUUCGUAGAUAUUCGCAAGAACACCAGUGGCGAAGGCGGCUUACUGGUCCGGUUCUGACGCUGAGGCGCGGAAAGCGUGGGGAGCAAACAGGG